rnacentral:rRNA from 1 species
ACUAAAUAGAUCCCGGGUAGUCCACGCCCUAAACGAUGCCUACUAGGUCGUAGAAUCUCUGACGAUUUUAUGGCCGAAAGCAAAAAAGUGUUAAGUAGGCCGCCUGGGGAGUACGGUCGCAAGGCUAAAACUCAAAGGAAUUGACGGGGGCUCACACAAGCGGUGGAGCAUGUGGAUUAAAUUCGAAGCAACGCGCAGAACCUUACCAGGGUUUGACAUGGUUGGAUGCCUUACUGGAAACAGUGUAGGUUGCCCGCAAGGGUGAAACUUCCACAGGUGCUGCAUGGCUGUCGUCAGCUCGUGUCGUGAGAUGUCGGGUUAAGUCCCUUAACGAGCGAAACCCUUGUCGUUAGUUACCAUCAGGUUAUGCUGGGAACUCUAACGAGACCGCCGGUGUUAAACCGGAGGAAGGCGGGGAUGACGUCAAGUCCUCAUGGCCUUUAUGCCCUGGGCCUCACACGUGCUACAAUGGCGUAUACAAAGCGACGCAAGACCGCAAGGUGGAGCAAAUCGCACAAAAUACG